UCUAAAUGAGGAAGAAGGGGGGAAGAGGGGAGAAGGGGCGAAAGCCUGAUCCAGCCAGGCCGCGGGUGGGAAGAAGGCCUUCGGGUUGUAAAGCACUUUCAGUGGGGAAGAAAGCCUUGGGGCUAAUACCCUCGAGGAAGGACAUCACCCACAGAAGAAGCACCGGCUAACUCCGUGCCAGCAGCCGCGGUAAUACGGAGGGUGCGAGCGUUAAUCGGAAUUACUGGGCGUAAAGCGCGCGUAGGCGGUCUGAUAAGCCGGUUGUGAAAGCCCCGGGCUCAACCUGGGAACGGCAUCCGGAACUGUCAGGCUAGAGUGCAGGAGAGGAAGGUAGAAUUCCCGGUGUAGCGGUGAAAUGCGUAGAGAUCGGGAGGAAUACCAGUGGCGAAGGCGGCCUUCUGGACUGACACUGACGCUGAGGUGCGAAAGCGUGGGUAGCAAACAGGAUUAGAUACCCCUGUAGUC
rnacentral:rRNA from 1 species